rnacentral:SRP_RNA from 1 species
GCUGGGUGUGGUGGCGCACGCCUGUAGUCCCAGCACUUUGGGAGGCUGGUGCGGGUGGAUCACCUGAGGUCGGGAGUUCAAGACCAGCCUGACCAACAUGGUGAAACCCCGUCUCUC